rnacentral:misc_RNA from 1 species
AGCAGCCGCGGUAAUUCCAGCUCCAAUAGCGUAUAUUAAAGUUGUUGCAGUUAAAAGCUCGUAGUUGAAUUUCGGGGUUAGUAGGUUGGUCAUGCCUCUGGUAUGUACUGGUCUCACUGAUUCCUCCUUCCUGAUGAGCCGUAAUGCCAUUAAUUUGGUGUUGCGGGGAAUUUGGACUGUUACUUUGAAAAAUUAGAGUGUUUAAAGCAAGCUAACGCUUGAAUACAUUAGCAUGGAAUAAUGAAAUAGGACGUUCGAUCCUAUUUUGUUGGUUUCUAGGAUUGACGUAAUGAUUAAUAGGGAUAGUUGGGGGCAUUAGUAUUCAAUUGUCAGAGGUGAAAUUCUUGGAUUUAUUGAAGACUAACUACUGCGAAAGCAUUUGCCAAGGAUGUUUUCAUUAAUCAAGAACGAAAGUUAGGGGAUCGAAGACGAUCAGAUACCGUCGUAGUCUUAACCAUAAACUUAUGCCGACUAGGGAUCGGAUGAUGUUAAUUUUUUAAUGACUCAUUCGGCGUCCCG